rnacentral:rRNA from 1 species
UACAGAGGUCCCAAGCGUUGUUCGGAUUCACUGGGCGUAAAGGGUGCGUAGGCGGUCGGGUAAGUCUGAUGUGAAAUCUCACAGCUUAACUGUGAAACUGCAUUGGAUACUAUCCGGCUCGAGGAAUGGAGGGGAGACUGGAAUACUUGGUGUAGCAGUGAAAUGCGUAGAUAUCGAGUGGAACACCAGUGGCGAAGGCGAGUCUCUAGACAUUUCCUGACGCUGAGGCACGAAAGCCAGGGGAGCAAACGGG